UACGUAGGUGGCAAGCGUUGUCCGGAAUUAUUGGGCGUAAAGCGCGCGCAGGCGGUUUCCUAAGUCCGAUGUGAAGGCCCACGGCUCAACCGUGGAGGGUCAUUGGAAACUGGGAAACUUGAGUACAGAAGAGGACAGUGGAAUUCCACGUGUAGCGGUGAAAUGCGUAGAUAUGUGGAGGAACACCAGUGGCGAAGGCGACUCUCUGGUCUGUAACUGACGCUGAGGAGCGAAAGCGUGGGGAGCGAACAGG
rnacentral:misc_RNA from 1 species